rnacentral:rRNA from 1 species
GACGGGAGUGCUAAGGGCGUAUGGUGGAUGCCUAGGCUUCUAAUAGCGAUGAAAGACGUGGUAAAGCUGCGAUAAGCUUCGGGGAGGUGCCUGUCAACCUUUGAUCCGGAGAUUUCUGAAUGGGGAAACCUGACCUUUUAUAGGUCGUUACGAGCUUGACUUGUAAUGCUUACCCAGGGAAGUGAAACAUCUCAGUACCUGGAGGAAUAGAAAAAAAUAUUGAUUCCCUUAAUAGCGGCGAGCGAAAAGGGAGGAGCCCAAACCAAAUGUGCUUGCAUGUUUGGGGUUGUAAGACAAACACUUCUUAACGAGGAGAGUUACAAAAUCAAAUUUUAGUAGAAACAACUGGAAAGUUGUACCCCAGAGGGUAAUGGUCCCGUAUACGAAAAAAUUUGAUCUCUCUUGUGUUUGCUCUUGAGUAACUCGAGACACGAAUAGCUCGAGCGAAUCCGCCAGUACUAACUGGCAAGGCUAAAUAUAUUAGAAGACCGAUAGUGAACUAGUACCGUGAGGGAAAGGUGAAAAGUAGCCCGACAAGGGCGUUGAAAUAGACCUGAAACCAUAUGCCUACAAGGAAUCGGAGCGGACUUGAUCCGUGACGGUGUGCCUAUUGAAGAAUGAGCCAACGAGUUUAUAUGUACUGCAAGCUAAGGCCUUAGUCGGCUGGAGCUGUAGGGAAACCGAGUGUUAAUAGCGCGUUAGUAGUACGUAUAAGACCCGAAACCAAGCGAGCUUGCUAUGAGCAGGGUGAAGUUUAUGGAAACAUAAAUGGAGGCCCGAACCGGUAGGUAGUUCAACUCCUUCGGAUGACUUGUGGUAGGAAGUGAAAAGCUAAUCGAGCUUGGUAAUAGCUGGUUCUCUCCGAAACAGCUUUUGGGUUGGCGUCAUGUGUUCCUUCUGGGGGUAGAGCACUGGAAGGUCUAAACAGGGAGCAAUCUCGUUAGACCUAUCAAACUCCGAAUACCAGAAAUUAAAAGCAUGGCAGUUAGACUACGGGGGCUAAGCUCCGUCGGUCAAAAGGGAAACAGCCCAGAUCUCCGUUUAAGGUCCCAAAAUAUAUACUAAGUGCAAGAAAGGUUGUGAUAUUUCAGAGACACCGAGGAGGUUGGCUUAGAAGCAGCCAUCCUUUAAAGAUAGCGUAACAGCUCACUCGCUCAGAGAUAACGCGCCACAAAUGAUCGGGGCUAAGUAUAUUACCGAAAACGAGGACUUGUAGAUUCUUCGGAGUCUAUGAGUGGUAGGAGAGUAUUCCACUCUGCGUUGAAGCGAAAGGGGUGACCCAUCGUGGAGCGUGUGGAAGUAAGAAUGUUGGCACAAGUAACCGCAAUGCAGGUGAGAUUCCUGCACGCCGAAAGACUAAGGUUUCCUUUUCAAUGUUAAUCAGAGAAGGGUUAGUCGGGCCUAAGGAGAUGACGAAAGUCGAAUCCGAUGGACAAAUGGUUAAUAUUCCAUUACCUCAUUAUGUUCCGAUGGAGGGACGGAGGACACAAGUUUGAACGUAUUAUUGGAUUUACGUUGCUAGCAUUAGAGUUAUUGGGUAGGCAAAUCCGCCCAUGUUGGACUCGGUGUCGGCUGAAUGGUGGCUUCGGCCAUCAAAUUAAGCGAAGAGCCUUCCAAGAAAAGCUUCUAAGGAUAAACAUAAUGAGACCGUACCGCAAACCGACACAGGUAGUCAGGUCGAGAAGACCAAGGCGAACGAGUGAGGGGUCCCCAAGGAACUCGGCAAAACAGCGACCGUACCCUAGGUAUAAGGUCUGCCCACGCAAGUGGGCCGCAGCUAAAGAUUCCUGGCGACUGUUUAUCAAAAACACAGCUCCCUGCUAACUCGUAAGAGGAUGUAUAGGGGGUGACGCCUGACCAAUGCCGGAAGGUUAAAUAUUGGCGGUGCUAAACACUGUGCGCAUGAUUCAUAAAUAUGAAUCAUAAUCGUGCGUAGAGUGUUUAGUGCUGACCGAUAUAAGCCCCGGUGAAUGUCGGCCGUAACUAUAACGGUCCUAAGGUUGGUGACAUAAUUUAUUGUGUUACCAAGAAUUGGGGCUGUUAUAAGGAAGUUUGAUAAUCAUUCAAUAAAAGUAGAAGAGUAAAACGAGACAAAAACAGUAAGUUAAGGAAAAGUAACUGCCUUAAAUUUGGCCGUAUGCUGGAAAAUCCGAGUAUAUUCAAAUACUAAAGUUUAAAUACUGAGUGAAAAUUUUGAAUUGCGGACAAUCAGCAGGAAAGACUAAGAAAUAUGCAAGUGUUUUUUAGAAUCCUCAGAGACUAAACGCCAAAUACUUUAGUAAUCAUUAAAGUAAAUUAUAGUCCGUUCUGUAUAGCGAUAUGCAGUUAACAUAUAGAGCGAAAUUCCUUGUCUGGUAAGUUCAGACGCGCACGAAUGGCGUAACGACUGGGAAACUGUCUCGGGGACUUGCUCGGUGAAAAUGCGAUGCCGGUGAAGAUGCCGGCUACCUACAGCAGGACAGAAAGACCCCAGGAGCUUUACUGCAGCUUGAUAUUGGGUGCAUGUUCUCUCUGCGCAGAAUAGAUGGGAGACUUUGAAGCAAUGAUUUUGGUUAUUGUGGAGUCGACAGUGAAAUACCAUCCUUUGAGAAUAUGUAGUCUAACCUCGACGGUAAAAACGGUGAGGAACAGUAUCUGGUGGGUAGUUUUAGUGGGGCGCUACCCUCCUAAAUUGUAACGGAGGGGCCUAAAGGUUCUCUAGGCGCGAAUGGAAACCGUGCCGAUAGUGUAAUGGCAUAAGAGAGCUUAACUGCAAGGCGUACAUGCCAAGCAGACACGAAAGUGGAGCAUAGCGAUCCGACCUUUCGCUUUAGAUGCGGAGGAAGCUCAACGGAUAAAAGUUACCCUGGGGAUAACAGGCUGGUACCGCCUAAGCGUCCAUAGCGACGGCGGUGUUCGGCACCUCGAUGUCGGCUCACCUUAUCCUGGGGCUGAAGAAGGUCCCAAGGGUUUGGCUGUUCGCCAAUUAAAAAGGUACGCGAGCUGGGUUCAGACCGUUCACACUUGAAGUGUGAAUGUGUUAUGACCAAGCGUUAGAACAUAUAGAAACAAAAAACUUGAAGUGUGAAUCAAUCUGAAUCCCUUCGAGGGUUAUCGAGAAUAAUUAUUUUUGUCUUUCUGUCCCAAAAUAUAGAACCAACAUCACGGCGGUUUUGUGUAGUGAUACACAAGAAUUAGUUGACUGAUAUCGGGAAAAUCCUAUCGCUAUUAAGCGAGGACGAUUCCGAGGGAAACAUAUCAAUAUGUACCCGUAGAGACUACAUGUCAGCCUUCCUUAGGGAAGAAAGUAUAGUCCAAUCCAUCUAGUAAUAGAUGAGCAAGGUGCGUGAGACAGGUUGGUUCUCUAUCCGCUGUAGGCGUUGAUUUUUGAGAGGAGCUGCUCCUAGUACGAGAGGACCGGAGUGGACUGACCUCUGGUGUACCGGCUGUCAUGCCAAUGGCAUCGUCGGGUAGCUAUGUCGGGAAGGGAUAACUGCUGAAAGCAUCUAAGCAGGAAGCCUACCUCAAGAUUAGAAAUCAUUUGAGAGCCCUAAGAGAUUAUUAGGUUGAUAGGCACCAAGUAUAAGCGUGGCAACACGUUCAGCUGAGGUGUACUAAUUGCUCGAACUCCCGUUAG